UGCGGUACUCUGACCGUGCAAAGGUAGCAUAAUCAUUUGCCUUAUAAUUGAAGGCUAGUAUGAAUGGUUUGACGAGAAUUAAGCUGUCUCUUUUCAACUAAAUAUAACUUUAUUUACAGGUGAAGAAGCCUGUAUUAUAUUGAAAGACAAGAAGACCCUAUCGAGCUUUAAAUAAUUUAAUAAGUUAACUAUAUAUUGAUAGAAAAAUUAAAUUGUUAAGGAUUUUAGUUGGGGCGACUGAGGAACAAACAAAGCUUCCUUAUUAACAUGGAAACAUACAGGUAUUGAUCCAAUAUUUUUGAUUAAGGGAAUUAGUUACCGUAGGGAUAACAGCAUAAUCCUCUUUGAGAGCUCUUAUCGAAAAGGGGGUUUGUGACCUCGAUGUUGGACCAGAAUAUCCGGAAGAUGCAGCCGUCUUCAAUGGUUGGUCUGUUCGACCAUUAAAAUUCUACGUGA
rnacentral:rRNA from 1 species